rnacentral:lncRNA from 1 species
UUAUGGUCAAGGUUGGAGACAAGAUACAAGGCCGUCAAACAGGCAGAAUCCUUAUCAUAAUUUCAAUCAGAAUCCUCCACAAUUAGAAAAAACUUAAAAGUUGGAAGACACCUUGAAUCAGUUUAUGCAAAUGUCAAUUGUGAAUUAGAAAAAUAUUGAUGCUUCGAUAAAGAAUCUUGAAACACAAGUUGGGAAAAUUG